rnacentral:lncRNA from 1 species
CGCACUGCCAAGCAGCCUUCCAAGAGCUAUUGCCUCAGACUCUUACUCCUUUUUUCUUUCCCUCCAAACCCCAAUCUGGGAGGCCUUCUGUCCCUGCCUAGAUCUGAUGAUAAGGGCCUCUCCAUCAUAAGGCGCUGUUCUUACCCAUGGUUUAUCUCUAAGACAGAAUGCUCAGUUCUUGCCACCCCUGGAGACAACUCACCCCCAGCUCCCAGUUAUUGUAUGUAUCUAACCCCCACAGUCUGGAGACUCCAGCACAGUAGACAGUUGGGGGGACAGAAAGGACACACAGCUGUACCAUUCACAGCUACAGCUCUAGGGCCUGCCAGGGCCCGGAGUGGCCUGGGAGGCUCAGCAGCUAGACCCUGG